CCUACGGGUGGCAGCAGUGAGGAAUAUUGGUCAAUGGGCGCGAGCCUGAACCAGCCAAGUAGCGUGAAGGAUGAAUGACCUACGGUUUGUAAACUUCUUUUAUAUAGGAAUAAAGUGAGGAACGUGUUCCUUUUUGUAUGUACUAUAUGAAUAAGCAUCGGCUAACUCCGUGCCAGCAGCUGCGGUAAUACGGAGGAUGCGAGCGUUAUCCGGAUUUAUUGGGUUUAAAGGGUGCGUAGGUGGGUAAUUAAGUCAGUGGUGAAAGUUUGUGGCUCAACCAUAAAAUUGCAGUUGAAACUGGGUGACUUGAGUACAGUUGAGGUAGGCGGAAUGCGUGGUGUAGCGGUGAAAUGCAUAGAUAUCACGCAGAACUCCGAUUGCGAAGGCAGCUUACUAAACUACAACUGACACUGAAGCACGAAAGCGUGGGUAUCAAACAGGAUUAGAUACCCUGGUAGUC
rnacentral:rRNA from 1 species